GUGUACUUGCUACUCAAUGUACGUAAAGUCCAUCUAGGAUGAAGGAAAGGAGAAGACGAGGUAAGAAAGUUGAGAAUAAUUGAGGAGUUGUUGAGAUGGUUCGAAGGUUCGGGCUUUUGCAAAAGGGAUGUUUUUAUGUCAAGAGCAGAGAGAGAGGCUUUGUAAAUUGGAAGAUCCUAAAGCCAGGCUCGAAUGGUUUAAGAGUGAAAUGGGUGGGAAAUGAAUUAGAAGCAAUUGUUUUAUGCUUCAUGUUAUGUUGUUUGACAUUAUAUAUGGUUUAGACUUAUGUGGUGCUGGAUUUGGAAUUUGGAUCAUUACCUUAUGUUUCAUAUUAGGUAAUUGUAGUAUUUGCAGUCGUAUAGUUAUGAUAUGUUUGGCUGUUUUGGUGUUCC